AGUCCUGUGAGUUCAACACUUCAGGACUCAGAUCUGUCAGUCAACACAGUAGAAACCACAACCACCAUGACUCUCAUCACCAUCCUCAUCUGGACGCUGGCCUGCUGCUGCCUCAGAGCAUCCAGCAGUCAACUUACUGUGUCUCAGCCUGCUGUGGUAACAUCUUCCAUUGAACCUACAGUCACUCUGACGUGUCAAACCAACCCAAAGGUAAAGACAUGGUCAGAUGGAACCAAUAGAUUACAUUGGUAUCAGCAGAAAUCUGGACAAGCUCCCAAGCUGGUCAUGAAAAAUGGUAAAAAUCCUACAAGUGAGUUUUCUUCCAGAUUUUCUGGCAGAGCAGACGGAGAGAACUCUAAUUUGACCAUCAGUGGAGUUCAGACUGAAGAUGCAGCAAUUUAUUACUGUAAGAGAUAUGAUGAAAUAAACAGUGCUUGGGUGUUCACACAGUGAUUUGUCGUCGUACAAAAACCCCCCUCAGUCAGACUGCAGAGACACUGAGCUGUUACAGCAGGAACCGACUGCAGCUGCUGAAGAGGAAGAGACUCUGACACAGACCACUGAACACAGAGCUGACAGUAACCUCACCAAGCACAAACUACACAUUCACACUAAUAAAUAAAACAAUAAGUAAAAA